rnacentral:misc_RNA from 1 species
GAUGAAGAACGCAGCGAAAUGCGAUACUUGGUGUGAAUUGCAGAAUCCCGUGAACCAUCGAGUCUUUGAACGCAAGUUGCGCCCGAAGCCUCGGCUAAGGGCACGUCUGCCUGGGCGUCACGCAUCGCGUCUCCCCCAAACCGCCAAGGCGGAGGGGAAGGAAGAUGGCUUCCCGUGCCUCACCCGGGCGCGGUUGGCCUAAAUUUGGAGCCCGCGGCACUUAGCUCUCGCGGCGAUAGGUGGUGAACAAGGCCUUGGCCGUGCAAACAACCCGCUGCGAAGCUCUAUGUCACGUGCGCUCGUCGGACCCUUUGAAGUUGCCUGCGGUGACUUAAAACCUUUGCGACCCCAGGUCAGGCGGGGCUACCCGCUGAAUUUAAGCAUAUCAAUAAGCGGAGGA